ACGGCUCAGUAACACGUCGAUAACUUGCCCUUAGGUCAGGCAUAACCACGGGAAACUGUGGCUAACACCUGAUAGGAAAUUUUCUCUGGAAGGAAUUAUUUCUUAAAAGCAAUGCUUAAGGAUAGGUCGGCGGCGGAUUAGGCUGUUGGUGAGGUAAAGGCUCACCAAACCGAAGAUCUGUAGGGGCUCUGAGAGGAGUAGCCCCGAGAAGGGCACUGAGACACUGGCCCUAGCCCUACGGGGUGCAGCAGGCGCGAAACCUUUACAAUGCAGGAAACUGUGAUAAGGGAACCCAAAGUGCUUAGCUUUGCUAGGCUUUUGCCGAGAGUAAAUAUCUCGGAGAAUAAGGGAUGGGAAAGACUGGUGCCAGCCGCCGCGGUAACACCAGCGUCCCGAGUGGCGAUCCUGUUUAUUUGGCCUAAAGCGUCCGUAGCUGGUUUAGUAAAUCUUUUGUGAAAUUGUUUUGCUCAACGAAACAACGUGCAGGAGAGACUGCUUGACUAGGGACCGGGAGGAGUCAGAGAUAUAUCAGGGGGAGCGGUAAAAUGCUAUAAUCCCUGAUAGAUCACCUGUGGCGAAGGCGUCUGACUAGAACGGGUCCGACAGUGAGGGACGAAAGCUAGGGGAGCAAACCGGAUUAGAUACCCGAGUAGUCCUAGCCGUAAACGCUGUGAGUUAGGUGUUGCGCAAUCUCCGUGAUUGCGCAGUGUCGAAGCGAAGGUGUUAAACUCACCGCCUGGGAAGUAUGGUCGCAAGACUGAAACUUAAAGGAAUUGGCGGGGGAG
rnacentral:rRNA from 1 species